CGGGCCUCUGGAGAGACUCUAAAAAGAGCACCGAAGGAGCAAGUUUGUAAGUUAUAUUUACAAAUGAAACUCUCAGGUAAAAGGACAGGGGAA
rnacentral:ncRNA from 1 species